rnacentral:lncRNA from 1 species
CAACUUGAAGUUCGAUCCUCACUUAAUAUUUAAUAGAUAUUUAAUUUACGAUCAAAACUUUCCUUAAUAAUUUUAUUAUGACACAUCUUAAAAUUCAACUUUCAUUAAUACUUGAGGGAAAUCUUGAGCAAUUUAUCCUAAACGGCGGAAGACAAGUAGACUCCUACCCAAUUUUAUUAAAAGGGAAAUCAAAUUCUAACCAUUUGUGAAACUCUAACCCACCUUAAAUGCAUAGGUUGCCAAUGGGCUACAAGCCCAAUGGCCAACACCUCUUAUUUAUAUAUAUAUAUAAUCAACACAUUAUUAUUGCAAAUGUCCAUCAUAUGUCUGAAAAAUGUGACAUAGCAGCUCAUAAGCUAGGCAAUAUAAGAAACUUUAUCUUUUAAGAUGUUUGAAUUUGGUUGGUUGAUUUACGUCUAGAAGUAUCUUAUAUUCUUCUUUAGUUUGAUAAUGCAUUUUUAGUUUCAGAGAAAAAUAUUUUCAGCUUUGGAUGAUUAUUGUUCACAAAUUUCAAAAUUGUUUAUUGCAUUAUUUGACAAUUCAUUUAAUAAUUUUACUUUGAAACAAAGUUUUGAAUAUCUUUUGGUGUAUCUAAUACUAGAUUAUUAAUUAAUUACAAAACAUGUCAGAUUCACGCAUUCUUUUGCCAUGGGCAAGAGAAGAGUUAUAUUUAGGGACCAAUUUAGUAGAAUAUGAACAUCUAUGUAUUUAUUUAUUAAAAUAUAAAAUACGAAAAAAAAUUAAUUGAUUUUUCAAUAAAAUUUCUGUAAUUAGUAAAAUUUUAGACAUCAAAUGUUGGACAAAUAAGUCCAAAACUGCCUUCCUUAAGAAUAUGCUACGACUGUGUACCAUGUCAGUGACGUGGCAAUUGUGUAUUUGUCUAAUAAUGUGUUGCCACUUGCGCAUUUAAUUGAACAAUUGAUAAUCAUAUUAUAUGAACUUACGCAGUUGCACUUGUGAUAUAUUAUCAAUAACUGGUUGAAUUGCUCCCAAUACCUUAAUUAAGUGGUUUUAAGUAGUUUAGUUUAAUUAACCACUCUCCUUUUUUUUUCCCUUUCUGGCGAUUAAAUAAAACAUUUCUCAAAGCCAUUUAGGCAUCGCAAAAUGCAGUUUGAUUUUUCUCUUAUCUUUAGAAAUUUAAAAUAAAAUACCUAAGUUGGCGAGGUAAUAUAACCAAAUCACUUGAAUCGUCAACUUUUGAAAAAUUGGUGCAUUAUUUAACCGUUGUCCGCGGAAUUUCAUGUGAGCAAACUAAAUC